rnacentral:rRNA from 1 species
AUGAAAAAUAGGUGUGAGGAAAUCUUGAUAUAUGGGGGGAGUGAUAGACCAAUGUGGAUGCUUACCGCAGACAGGAAAUUUUCUGUCAAAUAGUUAUAUAUGCACCUGAUAAAAGAUAAUGUGGGAUUCUCCAGAAAAUUUCUAUGGAAAACCAGAGUGCCUGCGAAAAUUAAAGUCUUUCUAUGGCUUCUUGCUAAGAAAAGUGUCCUUACUAGGGAUAACCUUUUAAGAAGAGGGUGGAAGGGGGAUAAACAUUGUGUGUUGUGUGGUAAAGAUGAAACAAUUGAUCAUCUAUUUUUUUCAUGUUCUGUAGCUAGAAUCAUAUGGGCGCUGGUCGGAUGUGCCUUUGAUCUAAAACAUUAUCCUAGAGAUAUCAAUGAUCGUUUUGGGAACUGGUUAAAAAAAUUCAGACAGAUAACAAAAAGUUGA